AGGUAAUAAAUAUUUAAAUUUUAAACCUAUUUAUUUUGGCGGCAUUUCAUUUUACCAGAGGAAUUUGUUCUUUAAUCGAUAUUCCACGAUAAUUUUCACUUAAUUAUAAAAUUUAUAUACCGCCAUCUCAUCCGAGUUUUUUUAUAAAUUAACUCUUAAUAAAACUUUAAAUUUAGGUCAAGGUGUAAUCUACAAUUAAGAAUGAAUGAGUUAUUUUAAAAAAGAUUUAUAAUAUUAAAUUAAAAAAUUUUCUAAAAUAAAUUUGAAAGUAAAUUUAUAAUAAUAUUUUAAUAUGAAUUAAAACCUAAAUGUGC
rnacentral:rRNA from 1 species